ensembl:misc_RNA 7SK 7SK RNA
AGAUGUGAGGGCGAUCUGGCUGUGACAUCUGUCACUUGAUCGCCAGGCUUGAUUCGGCUGAUCUGGCUGGCUAGGCCGGUGUCCCCUUCCUCACCACUCCAUGUAUGUCCCUCCCAAAGCUGCAUGCUCAGUCGAAGAGGAUGACCUUCCCUGAAUAGAGGAGGACUGGUCUUCAGUCAAGGAUAUACAAGCAGCUGUGCUCCCCUGCUAGAACCUCCAAACAAGCUCUCAAGUUCACUGGACUCUCCCAAAAAUCCAAUGAAUACUGUUAUUUUAUGGAUGUAUUUUAUGAGUGUGUAUGUGUGUCA